CUUCUUAUCUGCACUAGCCUCUGAGACUGAGAUGGUAGGGGGAGCGUUGAAACGUUUGCAGCUGUGGGAGGAAAAAAAAGGGAGAAUGUUCUUUAAAAACAUCC